GAUGAACGCUGGCGGCGUGCCUAAUACAUGCAAGUCGAGCGAACGGACGAGAAGCUUGCUUCUCUGAUGUUAUCGGCGGACGGGUGAGUAACACGUGGAUAACCUACCUAUAAGACUGGGAUAACUUCGGGAAACCGGAGCUAAUACCGGAUAAUAUUUUGAACCGCAUGGUUCAAAAGUGAAAGACGGUCUUGCUGUCACUUAUAGAUGGAUCCGCGCUGCAUUAGCUAGUUGGUAAGGUAACGGCUUACCAAGGCAACGAUCCAUAGCCGACCUGAGAGGGUGAUCGGCCACACUGGAACUGAGACACGGUCCAGACUCCUACGGGAGGCAGCAGUAGGGAAUCUUCCGCAAUGGGCGAAAGCCUGACGGAGCAACGCCGCGUGAGUGAUGAAGGUCUUCGGAUCGUAAAACUCUGUUAUUAGGGAAGAACAUAUGUGUAAGUAACUGUGCACAUCUUGACGGUACCUAAUCAGAAAGCCACGGCUAACUACGUG
rnacentral:rRNA from 1 species